GUCAGAUUUGAGCUCAAGGGUUCAAUGUGCAUGCAUUUCCAGCUGUUCCUUAGCUGUUACCAGGAACAGAACAAGAACAAGCCGCAACAUGAGGUAUGAGUGAGCUGCUGUUUCCCUGAGAUUUGCAAGCUGCCUGGAAUGGAGAUUUAAGCUAUCGCUAUUUUGUUUGUAGACUGAAGGAGGUAUUGGUGAACUGCUGCCUGCAAUGGAGAAUUUAAGCUGCUUUUGUAUUGAAAGAAGAAUCAGAAGAGAUACUGAAGAAGGGGUCAAGCUCAGACAGAAUAAUAUCAUAUCUUGAAACAAACAGCCCUCUUUUCCCAGAAGAGAAUGCAGGAUCACUUGAAGAUUUCAGUUGCCUGGCCAUGUGGUCUUCGGAGUGGUAAAAGCUGUAUUCCGGCCUUGUCAAUCUCUCAAAAGAUGAAAAAACCCUCAAACUACAUGAAGAUCUGUUCACUACAGAUGAAAUACCAUGCAGUAUGAAUAAAAUGUGGUUUCUCAGUGAUGACAUAGAAGAACCUGAAAGUCUUGGCACUCAUAAUGCUGAAGUCAUAGCACCCUUAACCAGCCUUGUCUGAAAACAAAAAAUAAUGUGGAAUGGUGUGGUUGUGUAACAGUUUUGCACAACACAGAUAACUUGGAACAACAGAUGGCACAGAACAAGAAACAGCUGGUAUCCCAGCAAUCAACAAAUCUUAUUUUUGCUUUGAGGCUAAAGUUGAGGCCACCUUUUGUCUAGUCAUAGACAAACACUAACAGACUCAUGUUCAAUAAAUGUCUGCACGUUGACGGUAUAUACAUAGUACUGUAUGUACCAUACUGGCUAGUCUUCCAGUACUAGGAAAAAAAAAAGAACUUUCUAGAGUUGUUCUCUUCUCCAAAGACCUUGUGACUGCAAUGCUGUGCUUUAAAAUGAUUUGCAUAUCUGUUGGCCUGACCUUAUAACUACCCUGUUAAUGUUCAGAAAAUAGACUAGUUUGCGUGACUACGCAAUAUAUUAAAUCCAAUAAACUCUUAGAGAAAUGGGAUUAGGACUUUAUAUUGCCCUGCUCAUUCUUCUAGCUAUCUGCAAGGCUGUGCUAUCUUGGGAGAUGUUAUAUAAAA